rfam:Lupinus angustifolius cultivar Tanjil chromosome LG08, whole genome shotgun sequence.
AGCCUGUGAUGUUCAAAUUGUCCGUACCAUCUGAGAUUAAGCUUUUUAACAAUUGCUCUGAUGCAUACACUAAUUCUUUAUUCUGAGGCUU